UCGGGAAUUUUGGGCAAUGGGCGAAAGCCUGACCCAGCAACGCCGCGUGAAGGAUGAAGUAUUUCGGUAUGUAAACUUCGAAAGAAUAGGAAGAAUAAAUGACGGUACUAUUUAUAAGGUCCGGCUAACUACGUGCCAGCAGCCGCGGUAAUACGUAGGGACCAAGCGUUGUUCGGAUUUACUGGGCGUAAAGGGCGCGUAGGUGGUUAGUUAAGUUGGAUGUGAAAUCCCCGGGCUCAACCUGGGAACUGCAUUCAAAACUGACUGACUAGAGUAUGGUAGAGGGUGGUGGAAUUUCCUGUGUAGCGGUGAAAUGCGUAGAUAUAGGAAGGAACACCAGUGGCGAAGGCGACCACCUGGACUGAUACCGACACUGAGGCACGAAAGCGUGGGGAGCAAACAGGAUUAGAUACCCCCGUAGUCCCUGAGCGGGCUGGCAAG
rnacentral:rRNA from 1 species